UUCGCGUCUCUGUGUCUCUUUCUGUCUGCCAGUGGGGCCAUAAAACCCAAAAUAAUACUAAGUAAAAAAAAAAUGUUUUGUGUGAAACAGCCCCCCCUCGGGAAGGCCCCUCCUCCCAUGUGUGGCGCUCGGGUUCGGCGGUUUGGAGAUCGGAACUGCGAGAUCGGCUCUCUUCGCGUUCGCGUUCGCAUUCGCUGCGGCUUUGUCUAAACAACAAAAUAUUGAAUUUAAUUUUUUAGUGUUAGUUGCUCUCUAACAAUUUCGGAGUCGUUAUCGCAUGCGCAUGUCGCGUUCGCGCCUCCGUCGAAUAAUUUUCUGUGUUCCGCCCGCCUUCGAGUUUUCCAUCGACGUCCUACGACUGGAAUAAUCGCCACUCCUGCUUACGAAUCCGUUGACGAUCCAGUUUAUAAGUCCCAUACACACAAACCGAUCCCCAAUUCGAGGGACGAGUGCGCGAGUGUGUGCGGGGGGCAUUCGAAAAUAAUGCCGAUUAAUUAAACAUAUUGACCAGUGGCCGUAAAUAAUGGAAUUUGAAAUUCACCCGUGUUGAAAAGUUCAUUACAUUGUGAGUCCGAGCACACAAAAAUAUUUAUAACUGCAUUUGAAAAAUAAUUCCGGGCCGAUAUUUAAUGACGGCUACCCAACGGAUUUUUAUGAGUUUGACGAUUUCGUUUCAAAUUAUUAAGUGAUUGGGUGAAAUAUUCCUCUGGUCUUAUCACACAGUUCAUAGAAUCAUUAAAGGCGAUUUUGACCAAAAGCACUACCGAAAUAACUGUAUCAAUAAAAAGCUGUACGCGUCACUGGAAGUGAGCAGACCGGUGGAGUAGAUCCAUCCCCAUUCAGCAGCGGUGCAGACCCACCAAGCACCACCCCAGCAACAAAUCUCAGCGGUGGCGUCCGGCCAAAACCACCUCGUUGCGCCGAC